GAAAUGCGAUAAGUAGUGUGAAUUGCAGAAUUCAGUGAAUCAUCGAAUCUUUGAACGCACAUUGCGCCCCUUGGUAUUCCAUGGGGCAUGCCUGUUCGAGCGUCAUUUGUACCCUCAAGCUCUGCUUGGUGUUGGGUUUUUGUCCCCGUCUCCGCGCGUGGACUCGCCCCAAAGUGAUUGGCAGCCGGCGUACUGGUCCCGGAGCGCAGCACAUGUCGCGCAAACGAGUGCCUUGGUACGGCGGCGUCCAUAAGCCCCUCUCUCACGCUCUUGACCUCGGAUCAGGUAGGGAUACCCGCUGAACUUAAGC
rnacentral:misc_RNA from 1 species